AAUGGGGGGAACCCUGACGCAGCAACGCCGCGUGGAGGAAGAAGGUCUUCGGAUUGUAAACUCCUGUCUUCAGGGACGAUAAUGACGGUACCUGAGGAGGAAGCCACGGCUAACUACGUGCCAGCAGCCGCGGUAAUACGUAGGUGGCGAGCGUUGUCCGGAAUUACUGGGCGUAAAGGGCGCGUAGGCGGUUUUUUAAGUUAGAUGUGAAAACCCAGGGCUUAACUUUGGGCGUGCAUUUAAAACUGGAGAACUUGAGUGCAGGAGAGGUAAGUGGAAUUCCUAGUGUAGCGGUGAAAUGCGUAGAUAUUAGGAGGAACACCAGUGGCGAAGGCGACUUACUGGACUGUAACUGACGCUGAGGCGCGAAAGCGUGGGGAGCAAA
rnacentral:rRNA from 1 species